UACGUAGGGGGCAAGCGUUGUCCGGAUUUAUUGGGCGUAAAGAGCGUGUAGGCGGUUUGGUAGGUCCGUUGUGAAAACUCGAGGCUCAACCUCGAGACGCCGAUGGAAACCAUCAGACUAGAGUCCGGAAGAGGAGAGUGGAAUUCCUGGUGUAGCGGUGAAAUGCGCAGAUAUCGGGAGGAACACCUGUGGCGAAAGCGGCUCACUGGACCACAACUGACGCUGAGGCGCGAAAGCUAGGGGAGCAAACAGG
rnacentral:rRNA from 1 species